AACCGAACGGACUCGGCGGCAGGCUUAACACAUGGCAAGGUCGAAACGGGGCGUAGCAAUACGUCAGUGGCAGACGGGUGAGUAACACGUGGGAACCUUCCUAGGGGUACGGAACAACUCAGGGAAACUUGAGCUAAUACCGUAUACGUCCGUGAGGAGAAAGAUUUAUCGCCCUUAGACGGGCCCGCGUCGGAUUAGCUAGUUGGUGGGGUAACGGCCUACCAAGGCGACGAUCCGUAGCUGAUCUUAGAGGAUGAUCAGCCACACUGGGACUGAGACACGGCCCAGACUCCUACGGGAGGCAGCAGUGGGGAAUCUUGGACAAUGGGCGCAAGCCUGAUCCAGCCAUGCCGCGUGAGUGAAGAAGGUCUUCGGAUUGUAAAGCUCUUUUGCCAGGGACGAUAAUGACGGUACCUGGAGAAUUAAGCCCCGGCAAACUUCGUG
rnacentral:rRNA from 1 species